GCAGCAUGGUUAAGUGUGUGCUCUCGACUCGACGUUACGUAUGGUGCAGUGGUUGUGGAAGGACCAUUUUGACAGUAAAAUAGCUGAAGUUAGCCUUAAUAUUGAGGCUGCAUGGUUUUCAGAGUCGAUUACUUUAUUAGAGGAGUAUUUUGCCUUCUUUCCAACUGCACCACUGGAUUGGUGACCGAUUGUGGGAACCUGGUAUGGAGUCCUUCUUAUCUACAUAUACUCUGAUCCUGCAACCAUUCCUGGUUAAUCAACUUGGAGCGUCAGUGUAACCAGGGUAAGGAUAUUUUCUGUCUAACAAUCUUGUCUAAUCUUUUAAAAUGUUACUAAUAGUCACCAAUGCCACCAAUGAAUCACAACUUCUAUCUAUUCCAACCUUGCACCACACUGCAUUUUAUUAACAAGCUCUCUUCUACCUAUACUUCUACGAUUAACAUCAGUCACUGUCAUGUAACAACCACUGCACACCAUUUGCAUGCACCUCCAAUAAUCCCUGAAACUAAAUAAAAUUCUUGUUAGAUUUGCAUUUUCUGAUUGUGUAUUUAUUUGACUUUUCUUUACUGCAAUGGUGAAAUGCCGAACCAUCUGCUUACGAGAGAGUGUUCCGUGGAAGUAUGGAGUCCAAUGCAAACUACACAUGCCAUCCCAGCAUCAUGAAGUCAUCAAUGGAGUUUGCUGAGGAAAAUGACAUCUUCUAAUUUUAAGGUUUAGGAAGAAAAUCUACACGGUAUCUCUAAGACUGGAAUGGACACAGUGGCUGCUACAACCCUGAAGGCAUCUGGAGAGUCCUGGUGAUGAAGAGCGACAUCUAUGAUAUAAGGAAAGCGGUAUCGUAUUGUUUUCUUAGUUUCUUCCUGUUUAUAUAUUUAUUUUGGAUUUUACCCAUUUUACCCUGUUUUUAGUUGUGUUUGAUAUUAUGCAGGUUGGCUGUUUGAUGUCUGACUGGGACGUUGACUGAACUAUCUGCCGACGACCAAGGGCCAAGAUGACAACAGAUGGGUGCCUGGCUACACAUAGAAGUGUUCUUGUCUCCAUGGUGGAUGAGAAGAUGGUUGCAGUCUAAUGGAAGAAACAACAGAUGUAGCUGGUCUGGGUUUUGAUGUGCUGUACUACCUGCCGAUGAAGGACCGAGACGGCAACAGAUGGGUGCCAGGCUACACUAGAGAGGUGUUCCUGUCUCCAUGGUGGAUGAGAAGAUGGUUGCAGUCUAAUGGAAGUACCAACAGAUGUAGCUGGGUAUCAAGAUGACUGGAAUGGACGGUGAGCUCCUGGAAUCCUGAAGGCAACGGGAGAGUCCUGGUGAUGAAGAGUAACGCCAUGGAGAUGAGGAUAGAGGUAUCACAUAUUGUUUUCUUAGUUACUUUAUAGUUUGUUUUAGUUUGUUAUAAUUUGUUUUAGUUUGUAUUUUAAGUUCUACAGGUUUGCUGUUUGAUGACUGACUGGGACGUUGGCUGAACCAUGGUUGCUAGGAUCGACGCUGACUGAAACAUCCAACGGAAUUGCUGGGAUCGACCUGUCUCUGUAUCCAGAUGCUUCGUUCCUACUUCAAAAGGAUGACCGACGAAGUGCUGUACUACCUGCCGAGAUGACAACAGAUGGGCGCCUGGCUACACUAGAGAAGUGUUCCUGUCUCCAUGGUGGAUGAGAAAAUGUUCUGCAGUCUAAUGGAAGAAACAACUGAGUAGCUGGUCAGAUGAUUAUGAUGUCUGUUUCUCUGCCGUCCCGUCAUUAUGGACCAUGAAGAUGUGACAUCACAGUACGAAGAGAGAUACGUCAUGGCUUGAGGAGAUAGACAUCAAGUAUUUCUCAGCUACAUACCAGGGUCCAAGUGGAAUUUGAAGGAUGAAGACAGUUAAAGAACUGAGCCACCUAAUGCAUUACCAACACAACUAUUGCUUCACCGCUGUUUUCGCUGAAGAUCUGUUUCUUCAUGAAGACUGCCCUCAUCUAAGAACGUAUACAAAUUGGUGGCUACAGCUUUGACUGUUAUUGAGGACGCAGGCCCGAUACUUCACGGAGGCAACAAAGGCGAUUGCCUCCAAGCCUCUGCCCAUUGCCUUGGUGCUCUUACGAUGCUCCGGCAGAAACUUGCCAUUGCCCCAAAACGAAGCAUGCAUGGCUGAUCUAUACUUCCACCAAUGAGCAGACUUUCUAAGAAGUGGACAACAUUGAACAAUUGUUUUGGGAUUAUCAUUGCGGACAAAGCGUCCAAUGGAUCUUGAUAUCACGGCGUCGGAUCAUCUGAAGAUUGAGCUCACUUACACAACAUUUUUGUUGUUGUCGAACAAUGACUUGGAUGUGUACUUCAUGUUUUUUUGAGAGAAUGUCAGUAUUAGAAAGUGGUUGUUUCCACCAAGGGAUGCAUGAGAUUGAAACUGAACCAACAGGGGUUUAAAAUUGGGUUCUUUGAAACUACCUCAGCACAUUUUUAUUCAAGACUAAUUUUAAAAUCUUUUUGACUGAAUUUAUCAGAAAGGAAGUUGCCAUUAUAAAAUAAGGUUUUGGCAUUUAAAUUUACCCAACAACCCGAAAAUUUCACAUUUCGUUGGCCUGUUUUGGCUUGUUUCUCUAUACUGAUACUUUCGACAAACAAAUCAUAUAGCUUGGUGACAUCACAUUAUGUUUGGCCAUCAGUCAUAGUUGAUUUCAUUCAUGGGAGUAAAUGUGCUAUGGUUGACAUAAAACAGUUUGUUUGUGUCCCCAUUGCUGAAAUAUUAUGUAACUCUGGAUGAAGUUUAAUUCAUUCACAAAAUUGUCAACUUACUUGUAAUGAGGUACUUCAUUACAAGUAUGUAGGCAGAAUACAUGCCAACUUGUAACGAGGUACUUCCUUCGUACAAGUUCAUGUAUUCAAAAAUUGCAUGGUUGUGAUGAGGUACUUCAUUACAAUUCAUGCAAUUAUAAUUACAUGUUUGCAAUGAAGUACCUCAAUGCAAGUAUGUAAACGUUUCAUGCGCGUAAUGAAGUACCGCAUUACAAGCACGAAACAAUUAAGUUAAUUUGUAAUGCAGUUGCUAAUUACAAAGUAUUAAACGGCAACAGGUUGUUUGUAAAAGUAAACUCAUUACAAACAUAAAGACAACAAGCUUGUCAUGGAGUGUAUUAUUAGUGGUUGUUACUAAUUUUUGUU